rfam:Daucus carota subsp. sativus cultivar DH1 chromosome 3, whole genome shotgun sequence.
GAGCAGAUGAUGAGCUUACUCGGAUUCCCCUUCAGGACUUUCUGGAUGAUGUAAAACCGAGUUUCUGAUGCU